rnacentral:rRNA from 1 species
UACGGGGGGGGGCAAGCGUUGUUCGGAAUUACUGGGCGUAAAGGGCUCGUAGGCGGCCAACUAAGUCAGACGUGAAAUCCCUCGGCUUAACCGGGGAACUGCGUCUGAUACUGGAUGGCUGGAGUUUGGGAGAGGGAUGCGGAAUUCCAGGUGUAGCGGUGAAAUGCGUAGAUAUCUGGAGGAACACCGGUGGCGAAGGCGGCUGCCUGGACCAGUCCUGACGCUGAGGCGCGAAAGCUAGGGGAGCAAACAGG